CGCUCUGCUGAUUUAUUUCACAGUCACUUAUUCUCACAGCACAACCGCUUAUUCUCACAGCAGCUUUUUUUUAAAGCACAGCAAUACCAAACCAGCCCGUAGUGCCAACCUGAGUCACAGUUGAAGUUCAUUACAGAGGCCUGGCUACAGUUGAAUAUAGGCGUGUACUAAAAUGGACAUAUGCUGAUGGAUAUUAUUGGCCGGAGCAUGAACAUGUCAAGUUCUUUGGGUUCUUGCAAGGUGAAGCUGAGUCUGGGUUGGAACGGCCUCAUCAAUGUGCAGAAAAUGAGCCACAAGUUUACCUCAAUGGUAAAUCUGGACGAUCUAAGAUGUCACAGUCAUCUAAAAACAUUGGCAGUGAUGGUGAUGGUGAUGAGGAUUGGUCAUGAAUUUCUGAGUUGCUGUCGAGAAUGCUACUUUCAGAAACAAAUUGAUAAACAAAUGGCAGAGGAAGACAGAGGUGACCACAGAUGCUGCUGCUAUUAAAAGCAAACUGCAUGCUUUUAAUCAAGUCUGGCUCUAUAAUUGAACUUGUAACCAUGCCUUUCCCUAUGAAGGACUUGUGCCAUGCUUUGCCAGAUAUUCACCAGGAAUACAUUUUUCCUUUCCCAAUCGCUGAAUAUUAGCGAACAAGUUGCUUCAUAUAUGAGAGAUCCAAGCAGAAUGGUUAGGCAGAUGCAGAUGAGGAAAUCAGCAGUUGCUGUAUUUGGUACCUGUUCCUGAGGGGUACAACUCUGCAAAGGGAGAGGUACUGACUGCAUGUAAUUGUGGUCAACUAUAAUCCUAUACUGAUUGCAUGUAAGUUCAUUGGAAUCGAAUGUCCAUGGAAUUUACGUUUUUUCCAUGUGCUGUUGUAAGUUUUUAACUCCCAAAUGAGGUACAAAUUAAUUGUUUGGGAUGGAUGCAGUCUAUAAUUAGUUUGAUACUACGUUUGAACAAAUUUGGGUUGUUUGUGGUGUUUGGUACUUUGCUUCAUUUUUCUUUUUGGAUGGCCCAAUGUGACUUGAUGAAUUUGUUUCUUUUAUUGCUACAAGAAAAGAUCAUGCAACCUGUGUGUGAGGACUGUGACGGUUUCAAUACUCUUCAUGCGCCAUUACCUUUAAUUGCAUCUUUAUGUUUAAAAUUAGUAUUCGUUUGCCGCUUCGAUGUGUAGCCUGUAAGGUUUGCUUUAAUUAUCUCUUUGAUGUGUUAUAAAAGUUAUAUUUCUAUUUGCACAAGUUAAGUACUUUUAUUCCUUCACUCUGAUAAGACACAAUCUGAUGCUGGUGCAAAAGCUGAUGGUGACCCCUUGGAUGACUCUGAGUUUUACCAGCAAUUUCUAAAAGAAUGUUUUGAGACAAUUGACCCAGCAACUUUUGGUAAAACUAUUGGGCAUCUCAUACUUCAUAUAUGAAUGAUUGCAUUUGAAUUUGAUAUACGGUUUACCCAAUCUAUAAGAUUUCCUGUAGUUCAAAACACAUGUAAUCAGAUUGCAUAUAAAAACUGUGGCUUUUGGAAAUUGUUAAGGAUUGUAUUGUCCUAAGUGAUGUCCGGUAUCCUCCUUAAUUUGCUGCUUUGGAUAUGUGGAGUUGAUGAACAUGAUUUUCAGACAAUUCGGACUCGUCUAACCAACUUUAAGAACUAAAUCUGAGUCAUGAGGAGAGUUUUAUUCAAACAAUCUGUAUCUGCAGCCAUUGAAGUCAAUGACACUGUAUUGCUCAGCUUAUAGUGGGCUUGGAACCUAAUCGAUCCCGAACUUCUAUUGUUCAAGUUUUUGUGUUUUUGUAACUUUAAAAAUGGAACAAGCUAGCAGUGACAAUGUUUAUGAGAAGACAGAAAAUUUCAUGGCUCCAGAGACCGUGGUCGUUUCUCCUAUGCUUCCUGACCUUAAUAAUUUGUUCGGGUUGAAGAAGCAGAAACCAGCUUUCGUAGUGUAGUAGCAACGCAAGGCUGAAUCAGCU